GGGGAUGUAGCUCAGUGGUAGCGUAUUCACCUAGCAUGCAUGAGGCCCUGGGUUCAAUUCCCAGCACCACCA
rnacentral:tRNA from 1 species